CCUGGUUGUUUGUGCUCGGUACACUCAGUGUUAGAAUUACAGAGGCACACUAUGCCCACCUAAAGGCCAUUCUGUCUUUAUAAAGAAAAGGUGUGAAGCUCAAUUCUUCAGUUUCCAUCUGCUGCUCUAAAUACUGUCCACCAGGCUGGGUAGUAAUAUCAGUGGUGGACAUGUUGGCUUAUCAUCGUGCUUGCACAGGCCACAUGCUUGUUAUCUGCUCUUCUCAGCAGCUUCCCACAGAAAGAUUGUUAUCUGCUCAUAAUUCAAAGCUGCUGAGAGAGGGUACAAGAGUCAGGAGAGACUACUUGAAAUUGGGGGUGAGAAGGAUUGAGAAAAAAAGGGCAAUGAGGUGAAACAUCCUAACAAUAUGGCCCCAAGUUAGACGCCUCUUCAGUAGGGUUAGGAUGUGGUGUGGGUCAAGAUGUGUUGUCUCCUGUGGUUUCCUUUAGUAUGAAUAGAAUAAUAACACACUACUUCUUUAUAAAAGAGGUAUGAAGAUAAAUGCUUUAAGACCGUGUGCUCAGCACUGCAGUGACAAGUACAACAGAUUGACUGAAGCUCCUCCCAAAACACGCACCUCACAGUUUGACCACAGUUCUUACUCAGGCCUGCCUCAAGACUUUGCUCACUGAUCCAGUUCCUAUGUUUUCCCAGCUCCACAGCUGCUUCUGUCAUUCAGACAAAUCUCCUGAAUUGGGCCUGUUGCUUUGAUGCUCCUUUCCAUGCCCACAGCACUGAGCCCUACUCCUGGGUAACAUUCCCUGUCCCUGGUUGGUUGGCUGGUGUACACAGAGAUGGCAAAAGGUGGACUGUGAAAACUACCUGGACUGCUGGCUGGGAACAGGAAGAACAAGAAAGUGGAAAUAAAGUUUCCACCCUUUAUUUAUAUAUGUUGAAUAGAUAGAUAGAUAGAUAGAUAGAUAGAUAGAUAGAUAGAUAGAUGUAAGAAUAUAUAUAUGCCUGUGUAGAGACUUCUGAGUGAAAUGUUAUUUUAGCCAAAAAAAGAACACCCUACAGAGAUGAAAACGGCUUCAAUCAAUCAUUCAGAGCAAACUGAGCUGCUCCAUUCGGUUUGGUAUUCUCAUUACCCGUGACCCCAGCACCAGCAUGUACGCAGCCAUGCCCACUCCCAGUUCUCCCGGCCGCUCUCAGCACUACUACGGUGUGAGCUCUCAAGUUGCAUUUCUGCUUCACCACCACAAGUGACAGCCUUUUGCCUCUGUCCCCCCUGUGAAAUGCUGUCUUGCACAGGAAAAGGAGAUCAAACGCAUCCAGCCUGUAACACACAAACAGAGCCAGGAUCUGGCAAGCGAGGGGCUGCCGGAAUAUCAGCAGAGAGAAGAUUCUGCUGCAGCCUAACAAGAAGGUCCUGGCCCCAGGCUGCUCCCUCCUGGUUUGGUGCAUCUGAGCAGUGGUGCUGCUCCACUCUGUGCAGCUGCUUCCCACCUCCUACAUCCCUCUGCUACUGCUUUCUGGUUUUUGAUGCUUAACUUCAAGCAAUGCAAGUAGCCUAUAAAGAACAGUGGAGCAUAUACCAAAGGAAAGAGCAAAGGUGAUUGAAUUGUGCUGUUUGUAGUUUGCAUCAUUUAUGCACUUACCUGCACCAGUGAGGCAUCGAGGUUUGAAGUGAAACAGAAGCAAACCAUGCACCGCGUUCUGAGACCUUUCUGUCCAUUCUCCAGGGCCGCUUUUAUACAUCUUUCUGCCCAGCUAAGGAGAGAGUUCUUUCAUCUUCAUAGCCAAGGCUUUUCCCAGACCUCCUUGGUGCCCCAGGCCCAUGUCCACCUCCUUGGUGCCCCAGGCCCACUGGGAGCACACCAGUGCCCUGAGGCAGUGCUGGAAGUACUUGGAGGUUUGUUCUUUCUACUGGAUUCAUCUCAAAAACUCUCCCCAUGUUCGUGGGCACUCACCUACGUGGUGUCAGUAGGCACAAGGAGCACUGCCUGCCUUUCACUAAUAUGUAUGCAUUGCUGGCAUAAUCUACCUUACAAGUUUAGAGUGUCUAGGGAGGGUCUUGAGGCUUCGGCAGUGCCUCUUUCCCAGCACACCGCCAGUCCCACUCGGGUUUUUUUUUCCCGCCUUUUUUUUCUCCUCAGAGACUCUGUGAAGAGCACUUGCACUUGGUGAGAAAAAGUGCGGGCUUGUGGAGCACUCCUGUUCAGCAGCAGUCCGUGAUGAACAGGUUGUUUCAGAAGUGACUCUGAGAUGCUGAAAAACGUUGCAUUUAGAAAAUAUAUUUUUGGCACCUGAAUGUUCCGCAACGCCAUUAGGAGCUCACGGAAUAACAGGUGCACUUCUACAGUGCUGGAUCGAUCCACUGAGCCAAACCCAGGGCAACGUGGCAGCCGUGCCAUCACCCAAAGCGUGGGCUGAGCAGCGCUCCUGCUCCCAAACUCGGUGCUCUUUGCAGUUUUAGCGCAGCACAGAUACGGGCGGUACAACGAAUUACGAGACCCGGUUUUGAAACAGUUCGCUGCUGGGCCUCCCGCCCGCCACGGCCGUCCCGUCGCAGCGCUCCCCCCGUGCCGGAGCCCCCCGGGCGUUACGCGGCUGCUGCGGACGGGAUGCGACACGGGGUCGGGUUCCGCUUCUCCCCGGUACUCCGCGCGGAGCCGUGGGAGAGGACUCGGCGCUUUAAUCCCUUCAAAAGACAGCGGCCUAAUUCAGCUCGACGACUCUUGGAAGUCUUUGAGCGGGCGGCGAUUGUUUCCACGGGAAAGGCAGAUAAGGAUCUCUGUGCCGGCAUUUAAAGGGCCUGCGGCGGCGGUGUGAAUGCAAUCGCACCCGACGGCCGCGCGGAGGAUCGAGUUACCCGGGCUGAUGGCUUCGCAGGGCCGCGGCCCGGCGCUGCCCCGGCCCCGGGGGGGUGCGGAGGAGCU
ensembl:lncRNA